rnacentral:ncRNA from 1 species
AGAAUGCGCGCACUUUCGGGUGACCGUCCGGCAUUGCUGGCCGGUUGAAACGGGAAGCCGGUGCCGCGCACUGCUGGGUCUCCAGCAUGUCGCCAUUCCGGCGCUGCCCCCGCAACGGUAAGCAGGACAAGUCCAGACAUGGCGCCACUGUGCACGGCACGGGAAGGCGUCUGGACGGAAGCAGCCAGGCUGCUUCGCCUGCGAGUCCGGAGACCGGCCCGAAAGCCGACUGGUUG